GACCUGUGUGGCGGCUGUGAGACUUGCAGACUUUGCACGUACUGGCUUAUUCUUGCAGACGUUGUACGUGCUGGCUUAUUCUGGAAGUUGAGGAUUGUUUAGCGUUGUACCAGGAUGAUCGCAGGCGCCUAUUCCUAUUUUAAACUAGCAGAGAACCUGCUGUGUCUUCGUAAUAUUGACUGUAUGGGCAUCUGUCAAUAUUGUUCCCGAUAUCUUGACUUGGUCUUUUCGGCGGAGUGGUAGUGUAGUUGCUGUCUAAAACGACCCUGCAGAUUCUUGCCUCACAUGUGAGGCUAUGAUUACAGUUUUAACUUCAGUGGAACUUCUGAAAGUUUUACUUUGAAGAUUUGUGUACAGAAAAUACAUAUUCCAGUUUAC